CUACAUUGCUCCAGACAUGUCUUGGGGACAAGGGCCCCAAGUCAGGGUUGCAGGCUUUUUAAAACGUACACUGUCUGCCCUCUUGUGGACAGCAAGGGUUGUGAAAGCCACAGCUAUUGCCGCAGGAUGACCAGUAAUCAAGUGUUGCCUCAGGAGGGGGCCAAACUGCUGGAGCAGAAACCCAUGCUAUGAUUGUGACACAAGACUACAAGUGCAAGUGUGAGGCAAUACAGAGCAAUGUGAUUCUAAAAAUACAGUGGAGAUCUAACAGCUGUAACAAGGACACAAGCUGUAGAUGCUGGCCAUGUCCUGUGUUCCUGAAACAUGAGGACAGUGGAAAGGUCAGAUGACACAGAGGAAAGACAUUAUGUAUCUAGGACCUUGUGUACAACAAUCCAACAUCUUUCUCUAAAACUGUAUAUCUGUAUUUACAUACUGUAUUAAUAUACUUUCUCUAUCUGACUUUCUGUGUACUGUAAUCCCACCCCUCCAUUUGUGUACUAUACACGCAGAUUCUCAGCUACUCUUACUCAUUCCCUCUGGCUGCUAUUUCACUGCAGGGCUGAACGGUUCUGAGCAAAGAGGGUAAGUGAUGGCUUUUUAACAUGGACAUGGUUUAGCACAGAACACUUACUUACUUACCACGGGUUGGUCCUGCUUUUCUCAGUAAGGUUAUUUAACUGUACUUGAGGCCACAGGACCAUUCAAUCGAAAGACUUAAAGACUGAGGGAUCUAAAUAUUGGCUACCCAGGCCAUGAAAAUGCCACAGUUAUCAUGCUAAUGCCACCUUAGUGAUGUGGGACAAACCUGGUCAAUGUUGUACUAACAUGCCUGGAAAACAAGUGCACAGUUAG
rnacentral:lncRNA from 1 species